GUGUCAGCAGCCGCGGUAAGACGAACCGAGCGAACGUUGUUCGGAAUCACUGGGCUUAAAGGGCGCGUAGGCGGGUGCUCAAGUCUGUGGUGAAAUCCUCCGGCUCAACCGGAGAACUGCCAUGGAUACUGGGUGUCUCGAGGGUGGUAGGGGUAUGCGGAACUAUCGGUGGAGCGGUGAAAUGCGUUGAUAUCGAUAGGAACUCCGGUGGCGAAGGCGGCAUACUGGACCACAUCUGACGCUGAGGCGCGAAAGCCAGGGGAGCGAACGGGAUUAGAUACCCCCGUAGUCC
rnacentral:rRNA from 1 species